UCGGGUGUCAACCCCUACGCGUAAUGAAAGUGAACGCAGGUGAGAGCUUCGGCGCAUCAUCGACCGAUCCUGAUGUUCUCGGAUGGAUUUGAGUAAGAGCAUACGGGGCCGGACCCGAAAGAAGGUGAACUAUGCCUGUAUAGGGUGAAGCCAGAGGAAACUCUGGUGGAGGCUCGCAGCGGUUCUGACGUGCAAAUCGAUCGUCAAAUAUGGGCAUGGGGGCGAAAGACUAAUCGAACCUUCUAGUAGCUGGUUUCCGCCGAAGUUUCCCUCAGGAUAGCAGUGUUGAACUCAGUUUUAUGAGGUAAAGCGAAUGAUUAGGGACCCGGGGGCGCUCUUUAGCCUUCAUCCAUUCUCAAACUUUAAAUAUGUAAGAAGCCCUUGUUGCUUAAUUGAACGUGGGCAUUCGAAUGUAUCAACACUAGUGGGCCAUUUUUGGUAAGCAGAACUGGCGAUGCGGGAUGAACCGAACGCGAGGUUAAGGUGCCAGAGUAGACGCUCAUCAGACACCACAAAAGGCGUUAGUACAUCUUGACAGCAGGACGGUGGCCAUGGAAGUCGGAAUCCGCUAAGGACUGUGUAACAACUCACCUGCCGAAUGUACUAGCCCUGAAAAUGGAUGGCGCUCAAGCGUCUCACCCAUACCUCGCCCUCAGGGUAGAAACGAAGCCCUGAGGAGUAGGCGGACGUGGAGGUCGUGACGAAGCCUAGGGCGUGAGCCC
rnacentral:rRNA from 1 species